rnacentral:rRNA from 1 species
GUAGUCCACGCCCUAAACGAUGAGUACUAAACGUUGGGUAAAACCAGUGUUGAAGUUAACACAUUAAGUACUCCGCCUGAGUAGUACGUACGCAAGUAUGAAACUUAAAGGAAUUGACGGGACUCCGCACAAGCGGUGGAUCAUGUUGUUUAAUUCGAAGGUACCCGAAAAACCUCACCAGGUCUUGACAUGCUUUUGCAAAGUUGUAGAAAUACAGUGGAGGUUAUCAAUUGCACAGGUGGUGCAUGGUUGUCGUCAGCUCGUGUCGUGAGAUGUUGGGUUAAGUCCCGCAACGAGCGCAACCCUUGUUGUUAAUUGCCAGCAUGUAAUGAUGGGGACUUUAGCAAGACUGCCAGUGAUAAAUUGGAGGAAGGUGGGGACGACGUCAAAUCAUCAUGCCCCUUAUGACCUGGGCUACAAACGUGAUACAAUGGCUGUUACAAAGGGUAGCUAUAGCGUAAGCUUUUGGCGAAUCUCAAAAAAGCAGUCUCAGUUCGGAUUGAAGUCUGCAACUCGACUUCAUGAAGUUGGAAUCGCUAGUAAUCGCGAAUCAGCAUGUCGCGGUGAAUACGUUCUCGGGGUUUGUACACACCGCCCGUCAAACCACGAAAGUUGGCAAUACCCAAAACCGGUGGCCUAACUUACGCAAGUAAGAGGGAAUCGUCUAAGGUAGGGUUGAUGAUUGGGGUU